rnacentral:ribozyme from 1 species
AAGACUUCCCUCUCUAAGGUUUUAUUGUAAUCAGCCGAUGCUCGUCCCAAGCCGAGAAAUUCUAACAUUUGUUAGAAGAAUUGAGAGGGCAAU